AACGUAGGAGACAAACGUUAUCCGGAGUUACUGGGCGUAAAGGGCGUGCAGGUGGUCUGUUAAGUCUGGCGUGAAAGCUCCUGGCUAAACCGGGAGAGGUCGUUGGAUACUGGCGGACUAGAGGACGGUAGAGGCGUGUGGAGUUCCGGGUGUAGUGGUGAAAUGCGUAGAGAUCCGGAGGAACACCAGUGGCGAAGGCGACACGCUGGGCCGUACCUGACACUGAUACGCGACAGCAUGGGGAGCGAACGGG
rnacentral:rRNA from 1 species